UUUUUUUUUUUUUUUUUGGAGAGAGAUGGGGUCUCACUAUGUUGACCAGCCUGCUGUUGAAAUUCAUUGGGAUAAGCGGCAAGGUAGAGAGGCUCCCUCCGAGAAACUAUAAGUCAUUUGUCUCCCUACCUUACUUCCCUCUAGGUGCUGUGAGAAGCCAUCUUUCCGACUUCAAAAAACACCGAGCUGCUAGAAUUGACCACUAUGUUGUGGAAGUCAAUAAACUAAUAAUCAGGUUAGAGAAGCUCACUGCAUUUGACAGAACAAAUACUGAGUCUGCAAAGAUUCGAGCAAUAGAAAAGUCUGUGGUGCCUUGGGUCAAUGACCAGGAUGUCCCUUUCUGUCCAGACUGUGGGAAUAAGUUCAGCAUCCGGAACCGCCGCCACCACUGCCGCCUCUGCGGGUCUAUUAUGUGCAAGAAGUGUAUGGAGCUCAUCAGCCUUCCCUUGGCAAACAAGCUCACCAGUGCCAGCAAGGAGUCCCUGAGCACCCACACCAGCCCCAGCCAGUCACCCAACAGUGUCCAUGGCUCCCGCCGAGGCAGCAUCAGCAGCAUGAGCAGUGUUAGCUCAGUCCUGGAUGAG
rnacentral:sRNA from 1 species